UUUUUCAACUUACUUUUUUUUUUCGCGGUCAAAUUUCUCUCAUUGUUGUAGGCUCGUAGAUCCCCAUCAUUGAACGCAACCACAGGUUUUGCUUCCUUACCUGUUUACCGCGGGCGGCGACAUUUGUUCCGCCAUAGGAGUUGUGUGUCAAUGUUGGUUUCGUAGAUUUUCAUGGGUUGAGUUCGGAAAGUUUAUCGUCACUCAAAAUACUCCCCACUGCAAGUCGUCUUCUCCAUCUUCCUUUCUCUUUGGUCAAUUGGUUUCGUCAAAUUCUAAUCCUAACCAUUCUAAUACAUAUUCUGCAUUUAUACUUUAGUUUUAAUCCUCCAGCAGUUAUUCUAAUUCUACUCGAGGAAUCAAAUUCAUUGCAAACACUUCUCAAACGAUGAAGAAAUUGACGACAUAUAUAAGAUGUUGUUUGAGCUUAUGUUGAGGGGAGACAAGAGAGAGGACGAGGCCAACAAAUAGGACAUACAGAUGAGGUGCACCCGACCAAUAAUGGAGGUUAGUACGGUGCCUACUUAUUGAUCGUCUUUCAUGAGCGACGCUAAUUCUUCGACCACUGUGAACAUUGAUCAAAGCCUCCAACAUAUAGAAACUAAAUUCAAUGAUCGAAUUCAGCAUAUUGGUGAUUUUGUUCACCAUGUGGACGAUCGGGCGGAGAGUAUUGAACAAAUCCACCAAACCAUCGUCACUCAAAACCUUAGCAUUAGGGGGAGCUCCAUAGGUUACGAGCAGACAUAAACUGUCGUGGCCCCGACAGUGAUACAGGUACUCCUCCUAUCGCAUGAUGUAUGUUUUUUAGUAUAUUAAUAUUUAUAUUUUAUUUUGGCAUACAUAUUAAAUACUAUUAUAAUUUUUAUUAUAUUAUUAUUAAAACAAUCAUUGAUUACGCUGUUUGAUUUGCUAUGCAAGUGCUCCUCCUAUCUCUUAAUGUAUGUAUUAAGUAUAGUGAUAUUCAUUCUUUUAUUUAGGGGCAUAGGUUAAAUACUAUUGCAUCUUGUUGAUUGAAACAAUAAUUGACUACAUUGUUUUAUUCUUGAUGCUGGCGUUA